AAACAGGUAGUUCUGAUAUUUCCUUGUGUUCUGAGAUCAAAUCACUAACUUUAACGUUCCGUUAAAAAGUCAGCGUUUUCGCAAUGUUUUACUGUCAUUCAUCCAAAAGACGAGUCUUCUACUACGCUUUCAACUGACCAUGAGAUGAUGCCUGGCUUGACAGUCUGAACUUUUGAUUGCUGGGUGGAUGAGAAGGUGAAUCAUCCAUUUCAAUGAAUACAGAGACAAUUGAGGAUCCUGUGAGGUCGCAGUUCAGCUGGCUACCAAUGGUGCUCCCGUAGUGGGUGAGAACAAGCUAUCUCUUCAGUGCAGUUUGCAGAUAAUAUCCUUG